UACAGAGGUCUCAAGCGUUGUUCGGAUUCAUUGGGCGUAAAGGGUGCGUAGGCGGCGCGGUAAGUCGGGUGUGAAAUCUCGGAGCUUAACUCCGAACUGCAUUCGAUACUGCCGUGCUUGAGGACUGGAGAGGAGACUGGAAUUUACGGUGUAGCGGUGAAAUGCGUAGAUAUCUGGAGGAACACCGGUGGCGAAGGCGGCGUUCUGGACUGACAACUGACACUGAUGAACGAAAGGCCAGGGGAGCAAAACGGG
rnacentral:rRNA from 1 species